UUUAAUUAGAUCAAAUAAUUCAGUUAAUUAAAAAUGAUUAAUUAAAAUUAAAAUAAAUAAUUAAAAGAGAAGGAAAAUGGACAUGGAUAUUGGUUUGGUCACUAUGUAUUGAGGAAAAUGUGCUUGGAACCAGUUUGAGCAUAAGAACAAUAUAUUUGAUGUCGUAUGUAAUUUCAAAAACUCGGUCAAAGUACUCCAUUAAUAUAUUGAAACAUUUGGUGGCACAACGGUAUUGAAUUACCAAAUCCAUUGACUAAAUCUUAAUUUAUUGCAAUGAAAUCAAACAGAAACCAAUAAGAUUCACAUCAUAUUACAAUUAAACUUAACAGUGAAGCAACAAUAGAAAUUAACAAAGUUCAAAGCCUGUUGGGCCAGGAUCUUGCCGUAAAACAGAAGCAAAUAGGGACGAACGCUUACAUCACAAUGGUUAAGCGUAUUUUUAAGGAUUUUAAAAAAACAAACUCAGCAAACCAAUUCAACUUUACAUNGGUGGCACAACGGUAUUGAAUUACCGAAUCCAUUGACUAAAUCUUAAUUUAUUGCAAUGAAAUCAAACAGAAACCAAUAAGAUUCACAUCAUAUUACAAUUGAACUUAACAGUGAAGCAACAGUAGAAAUUAACAAAGUUCAAAGCCUGUUGGGCCAGGGUCUUGCCGUAAAACAAAAGCAAAUAGGGACGAACGCUUACAUCACAAUGGUUAAGCGUAUUUUUAAGGAUUUUAAAAAACAAACUCAGCAAACCAAUUCAACUUUACAUUCAACUUUACAUGCAUCGGUACAGGACCUGUACCUUAUACAUCAAACCAAAAAACAAAAAUUCAAAGAAACAAAAUACUAACUAAAACUAAAAGUCAUCCGAAAUCAAAAGUCAUCCGAAAUCAAUCGAGGGCAACAUAACCUAACCACUAAGGAUGCGACUCUUAUAAUUGAGAGAAAAGAAGAAGCAGAAAAAAACAUAUUACAACAUUUUGAAGCUUCAGAUAUUUCAUCAAAAGAAAAACAGCAACAAGUGUAAUAAGAUCAACUCAGGAGAAAACAGUUCACAGUACAGCGCACGCAAGGUCUAAUAGAAUAACCAAAGUUCAUCUAUAAAAUCAACAAACUCAACGCGAGAUGAACCCAACUAGAACAUAUCUCAAAAGGGGAACGAGUUCUUUAACAGAAAGAGUUACCUAACGCGGACCCAUUGCUGUUGUAUUUUUGGCUUGCGAGCGAUGUUGCUUCUACACUGAGUCACUGCAUCCUUAGCAUCGUUUAAACUGUGACCUCCUUUGACCGCAUCAAUUGCUAAUACCAGUCCUUUUAACGUCCAAAUCAGAUUGUCGUUUGAGAGAGUAAUCGUUGCUACCGUUGGCGUUUGAAACUCUUGCAUUCAAUGUCUGAACAAAAGGUCACCUGCAGUAAACUCAAAGCCCAACAUCAAUAAGUAAAUCAGAAACUUCAGCUUCUAUUGAGUCGGAGUUACCGACACGAUGGCGGUAUUUCGGAUGCGAGGUUUAACAAAAGAUGGUAAAAACGGCGAGGAAUUUGUUUUGUAGGUUUCCGCGGCGGAGUGAAGGUUGUUGGGGUCGGAUGUUGCGAUUGGGUUUCGGUUGGAAGUGAAAAGCGAAGGAGGUUUUGACGGAGGGUAUUGGCGGUGUGG
rnacentral:lncRNA from 1 species